rnacentral:lncRNA from 10 species
AUUAUUCCUCUGGGAGAUGGAGAAGAAGAGACCACACCAAGCAUUGCCACAGUAAGAGAUUAGUGAAGAUUCUGCCCUAAACAAAACCAUUUCCUUUGUUGAACUUAUAUUGUACUUUCUUCAUCAGGAUGACGGGACACUAUGAGUGAAAGAAGAAAAACUUUGCAAGGCUCUGACAUUAAGAAGGAGGGUGAUGAAAAUUUUGAGUGGCUUGCACAUGUUGUAUAGGAACCAUGGCUUCACAGCCCUGGGCAGAUGCUUGAAGCAAAGGCGCAGAACAAAGGAUGAACAAGACACAUAGGGUGAACAUUCAGCUGCUCGCUAGGACUGUAGCUGGAGUGUUUAGUAGAUGAGGGGAAUAGUUUGUGCAACGGUAAGCUGAUGUUGUAUUGAUUUUAUUUUAAUCCUCAAUGAAAGACACUCAACAAGAAUACAAAAAAAGAAAAAUAAAACA